CGCUGGCGGCAAGCCUAACACAUGCAAGUCGAACGGACAAUUAUUUAUAGCCUCUGGCUAUAGGAAAUUGUUAGUGGCAGACGGGUGAGUAAUGCGUAGGAAUCUACCUAGUAGUACGGAAUAGCCAUUAGAAAUGGUGGGUAAUACUGUAUAAUCCCCGAGGGGGAAAGAUUUAUCGCUAUUAGAUGAGCCUACGUUAGAUUAGCUAGUUGGUGAGGUAAUGGCUUACCAAGGCUAUGAUCUAUAGCUGGUCUGAGAGGACGAUCAGCCACACUGGAACUGAGAUACGGUCCAGACUCCUACGGGAGGCAGCAGUGGGGAAUAUUGGACAAUGGGCGAAAGCCUGAUCCAGCUAUGCCGCGUGAGUGAAGAAGGCCUUCGGGUUGUAAAACUCUUUCAAUAGGGAAGAUAAUGACGGUACCUAUAGAAGAAGUCCCGGCAAACUCUGUGCCAGCAGCCG
rnacentral:rRNA from 1 species